AGAACAUGGUUCUUCAUUAUUGGUUAUGAAAGUCAUAGUUAGGUAAAACCUAGCUAAAUUGUUUUCUAGCUAAGUAUAACUCAGAUCUUUACCGUUACAGGUAGAUACACAUGAUGACUAUAGAAGCAGAUGCUGCAGUGCAUGAUGAAUAAGGGGACAAAACUCACUUGCCAGACCUAUCAAGAAACCUAGUUCUCUAACACAGGUUAGUGGUUUCUUGGUUCUUUCAUACACAAUUUAAAAUGAACUAAAAAAAUAAUGCCAUAUCAUCAUCAACGUGACAUACUCUUUAAAGUAGUGUCUCUUUGUCUGAUACGUCAUAACCCAAACGUCACUCAUUUCUCUAAACGAUAUAUCUCCAAGGCAAAAGGGUGUUACCAUUUCAGAACGGGGGCCUCAUCAUAAUUAAAUCAACAACACAACUCUUUAUCUUCCAAACUCAAAAUUCCCUGUUUGUCUUCUCUCUUCUCAAAUCCACACUCCCUCGAGAAUUCUCAGCAUGCCUGAAAAUAAGCAACCGUUAGUAUGCCUGAUAAAACUGUGACUAAGUCCUCACCAGUGAGAAUUCCAGCAAAGGACCUCUCUCCAAACCCUUAAGAAGAGUUUCCUCCACACUCCACUACCUUUGCCACCCUCUCCGAGUCCACUCCUCUAUGAAAGUAUGAAGAUGUUUGUCCUCAUCCAUUCUCACUGGUCAAACAGAGUCAAUAGAGUGAACAAAGAAACCUCGUUUAGGAACCUUCUAGUUUUCUAUGGCUAAGAACUUGAUGUAAAGAACAUGUGACUAGUCAUGAAGAGACUGAAAUCUCUUGGACAAGUGAUGACUUAGAAGGCAUCACUCCUUCAUCUAUUGAAAUCACCAUGGAACCACAAGAAAAUAAAGAAAUAGAGAAUAUGUUUUACAUUACGUCAUAAGAGGUCAUUAUAGAGGAAUGUGCAAGAGAGUCUGAGCCUCAAAGGGAAGAAAUAGAAGAAGAGGGAGCAAUUGUGCCAUUUGAUCAGCCGGCACAAGCUGAUGCUACUGGGUCCCCAAAUAACGAACCUGAUCCUUCCAUGGAGAAUCCAGGCCGGGAGUCAUCUUCCCAGGUCAGUAUUGAUCUUGCUGCCUCUCCCCACUUCGAUGCUGAGACUUUGAAUAUGGGGGUGCUUGAGACAAAUCCUGACAAUGAAGAAUACGCAAAUGAUUUAGUGUAUUCUAACUUCAUCAAGGCUAGGACUAAGCCAACGGUAACUUGAACGCCACCUGCUAAGCGACCUAAUAGACAACUGUAGAAAAAGAAGGCUCUAGAGUUUGCCCUAAAGAAGAGUAAAAGGAGUAGAAGAAGGAGAAAGUUGGUUAAGGAUGGAAAAGUUGUACAAGAAGAGAAUGUUCCUAUAGUGGAUAUGGAUGAGGAAACCAAAGAAGAACCUAGUUCCUUAUACUGAAAGUCUUCAAGGAAAAUGCACUGUCUCUCUCAAUCUGAAAAGCACACCUCUAAGGAUGCUAAGAUUUUUUCCAAGAGUGAUGUUGCGGGUUCUAGUAAAAAGCUGUCAAAACGUUCUGGUGACAAGACAAUGAAGGAGGGUGGUGACAAGUCUUAUGAGGAACAAGUGGAGAAAUCUAGUAAACAUAGGUAGAGCAAGUCACUGGAGAAGGAAAUGUCUGUUGAAAAGUCAAUGAAAGGAAAUAGGGAUAAUGAUGAUGAUAAUAAGGAACCACGUUGCGUCAAGAAAGGAAAGAUGAGUGAAACUCUAAGGUUUGAGAAAGGGAAGCUGGGGAAUCAAAAAGUGUUGUGGGGCUGCACUUUUGCCUCUGACAUUCUAGAGAGUGCUGUGAUGAGACAAGUUUGGAUGUUUGUGAUGCUCAACAGUGGACAAAUUUGUUUACAAGUGAGGCUCCUAUAGUGUAUGAGGAGGAGGUGUUGAGUUUCUAUACUAGCCUCUUCACAGUAGAUGGUGAUCAAAUUUGUGUGUUGGUAAAUGAGGUAGAUAUAGUGAUGGAUUCUUCCUUAUGGGGGCCAAUUAUGGAUGUUCCUAUCGAAGAAUUGUCAUCUGCUCGGGCACUUGCACAACAAACUUUAGAAAUGCCAUUGUCAAGGGCAAGGCACUACAUCAUGUGGAAUAGGUGCAUAAGAAGGCACUCCUUCCAGUUUAUCAACUGCUCUUUGAGAUGGUUAACAAAGUAUUACUUCCUCGUACUGAAAGAAAAUAUGUUGUAUCCAAAGUCAGAGGAGUUUGAAGCACUUCCAAAAUCUCUCAACUGAUAAAUUCUCAGAAUAGUGCCAUUGAGAAGAUUCAGAAGUUGAAGGCUAGGAGCACGAUUCUUGAGAAUCCGCUUAGUCAGUUGAAAGAGGUAUUUAUUUCCAGUGGUUCUCACAGCACAGAGUUUGCACGCCUAUCAAAGGAGAAUUUUGAUCUAAGUAAAUAGGUAUAGGACCUGUAAGAAAGACUGCUCAAUGAGAAACUAUCCGCGAAGCUUGCAUGGAUCUUGUCCUCCAAACUCUUGCUUUCUCUUCCAAGUCCCCUUCCUCCAAUGUCCCUUAGAGAAUGUUCCCUUGGUGUCCAGUGUCUAUCCUUUUAUGUUGUUGUUGGUGAUAUUUUGUUAUUUUUGGUAUAUGUUUUUUAUAUGUUCUAGAUUUUGGAUGGAAAACAAUGACAUAGCUAUUGCCUGUAAUAGUCCAAUUCUUGUAAAUGAAAGUUGUUUCCCUUUUGCUAUCUAUGAUGCUGCUCUUUACUUCUGUCUUUUAUCAUGAUGUGAGCACAUAAGUGAAAUGAGUUAACUAUGAUAGACUUCUUUAUGCUGCUAACAUGUUCUGUCCUCUUUAUGAUGCCAAAAGAGGAAAGAUUUAAUUUAAUAAUCAAAAUAAAGAUGGGGGAACCUCAUUCAAGGGGAACUCACAAAAUUUCAGAAACUGAGGAUAUACAACGUGAAUCUAUCGAUGUCAAUGAAACUUUUUCACCGGUAGUCAAACUGACUACCAUCAGAUGCCUUCUAGCUGCAGCAGUCAAACGGAAUUGGGGAAUUUACCAAUUCGACGUGAAUAAUGCAUUCUUGUACGGUGAUCUAAAUGAGGAAGUGUGUAUGAAAUUACCUCCUGGUAUUAUGUCUCCUCCCCUUAGACAUGUUAGCAGGUUGGAGAAGUCCCUUUAUGGACUUCAAUAUUAUUCUAGGCAAUGGUAUGCAAAGCUGACCACUACAUUAAACUUCAAAGGAUUGAUUCAUUCUUUAAAAGGAUAUUCUCUUUUUUUCAAGAAAACAAACUAUCCUAUCUCAAUUGUUGUUAUUUAUGUCGACGAUAUACUUCUAAUAGAUAAUGACAAUUCAAAACUACGAUCUCCAAAGGAAUUUUUAGACCAAGAGUUCAAAAUAAAGGAUCUCGGAGACUUAUAUUUUUUCAUAAGAAUGGAAGUUGUUCGUGAACCUUAGGGGCUUAUCCUUCAUCAGAGAAAGUUCACUCUAGAUCUUCUCCGGGAGUUCAAUACACUAUAUGUACGCCAUGUCUCUUCUUCUCUUGAUCCAUCUGUCAAGCUAAAUGCUAUGGUUGGUGCUGUCAUACCAGAUCCUACUUUAUAUCAGCAUCUUUUGGGAAACUCAAUUACCUAACACAUACGAGGCCUGAUCUUUCUUUCUCGAUUCGCAUUUAAGUCAGUACAUGCAAGACCCGCGAAAACCUCAUCUUGAUGUAGCUUUUCGAGUGCUACAUUAUCUGUUACGCGAUCCUGGUCUUGGAAUUUUUAUGACAGCCUCUUCCUCUUUUGAGUUGUUGGCUUUUUGUGACUCGGAUUGGGGCUCCUGUCUAGAUUCUCGUUGCUCUGUGAGUGGCUACUUCAUAUCACUUGGUCCUUCUCCUAUUUCAUGGAAAUCAAGGAAGCAAGCCUCAAUCCUGCUAAGUUAUGCCGAGGCUGAGUAUCGCAGCAUGCAGCGAGUUGUUACAGAGCUCACCUGGUUGGUACGUUUGUUUGAUGAUCUCUCAAUCCCCAUAUCACUUCUUGUUCAUCUUCACUCCGACAGUCAAGCUGCAAUCCUAGCUAAGAACCCCGUCUUUCAUGAAAGGACGAAGCACGUGGAGAUUGACUAUCAUUUUGUGCGUCAACAGUAUCUCACAUGUUUAAUUUCCCUCUCUUUCGUCCGAUCUUCUUCUCAUUUGGUAGAUCUAUUUACCAAAUCCCUCACCGGCCUUGUUCAUCGCAAUCUAUUGUGCAAGUUGGGGUCCUCUCGUCCCCCGCCAACUUGAGGGGGGAUGUUGGUGCACAACCUAGAAGUACGCUAGUAGAGAAGAACAAAAAGAAGAACAAAUAUCUCUUAUUUAGAAACACCAAGGAAGAAGAUAGAGGCGGUGGAAGCUAAGUGUUUGUUUGAAGGGUUUC
rnacentral:lncRNA from 1 species